rnacentral:sRNA from 1 species
AGUUGUUCGAGCGGCUGCUCCUGAGGAG